GCAUACAGCCAUCCGACCCUGGCAACGCCCGAUCGCUUCCGAUCUCGGAUGCUAAGCAGGGUCGGGCCUGGUUAGUACUUGGAUGGGAGACCUCCUGGGAAUACCGGGUGCUGUAGGCU
rnacentral:rRNA from 1 species